AGCUUGAAACGAGUGAGGAUAUGAAUGGAAAUGCGCUUGCAUUGAAGAUUGAAGAAUUGGCGGUUGCGUACCCAGUUGAUAAUCUAGGAACAAGGGGUUUAUCGAAUCGGCAUUGGAAAAGCACGGAAGAAGCAUAUUGAGGGGUGAAUUGGGAAGAAAUGGAGUCCAAGGAAAUUGGGUCGUAUCCUUUAAGAAUGGAUACAGCCCUGUCGACAAAAAGGGUGGUGGAGGAAGGAGAUGGUGAG
rnacentral:misc_RNA from 1 species